CACUCGCGUUAACCCUAUCCACUCUGCCCCUGCCCCCAACUUCCGCCGCCGCCGUUCUCGGGGUCUCCAUCCUCGGACUCGUCCCUGCCGCCACCCGCGGCCAUAGCCCCGAGCUCCCGGCCCCCUCCAUCGCAUGCCUUCCCUGCCCCCUUCUUUGCCACCACAUGGGCAUCUUUGUUGGCCCGAGUCCCCACCGACGGCGGUGAGCAUAACCCAGAUCCCUAACCCCAUCGAUGCAUGCCUUCCCCAGUGACGCGGUCACCGACAGCCGCGUCCGCCGGGGCCUUCACCGACCACCGCUAGCCCUCACGAAGGACCAAGACAACGCCCUCCUCUUCCUCCUCUCAGGGAAAGACCCCUCCUCUUCUUCCUGUCAGGAAGGACCAAGACAGCGCCCUCCUCUUCCUCCUCUCAGGGAAAGAUCCCGUAUGUGCUUGUGCUAGAGGCAUGCCGCUGGCACCGCUGGGCCCUUAUUUAUCUUAUACAAGCCAUUUGAGGAUAUGACGUGAUGAGCUGUUUUUCACUCAACGCGUGGCGAGUCCACUUGGAACUGAAUAGGCACUGGUUUUUCUUCUUACUCUCCAUGAGCCCCUUAUACUACUGCUAUGGUUUAUGUGCCUACUUUUAACUCUCUCAACUAAAAUUGGGCUGCUUUGUUUCAGCUGAUCUGAUAGUGUGGGUGGGAUCUACAGAACAACCUUGAGAUGUGUCUGCGACCAGUCCACAUUCUGCACAACUCCCACAACUUGAAGACCAAGAUCUUUGCCAUUUAAAUGGUUGAGAGAAUAAAGUGGAUGGAUGACCAAUCCGAGAAGGGCAUUGAACAAAGUGUAGGUAUCAUGGUCAAUUAUCUGUAAAGUAGGGAACCAUGACCACCAGCAUGCAGCGCAGGCAAUGGGCGGAGAACAGAUGGCUACCUCUCUGGGAACCAUGGUCACCCACAUGCAGCGGAUAACGAAUGGUGGAUGGAAGGCUACCUCACCAGGAACCAGGUCCACGACUUAUUGUGGGCAAUCGGUGGCGAACGGAGGGCUACUUUGCCGGGUACCUCAACUACUAGGCACUUAGCCAACUGGUGCACAUGGACGUGAUGACUUUGCAGCGUUUAUGGACCAACCAACUUGUAAUCAUGGAUCUUAUUUGUCUUCUAGACCAUUUGGUGAUUUGGUUAUUUUGGAGCUUGCAUUGUGUGCAUCUGGAUACAGACUUGUGUGUUCUGGAUCAUCUAGUUGAAGUUUCUCAUACCAGCAAAUAGUGCUAUCUUUUUGUGACUUGUGUGUUCUGGGUGAUUGUUAAGAUGGUAAAAAACUAUGCUUUGUCAAGAUUGAUGUGUUUGUCAACUUGUGUUCAAUGUAUAUGCACGUUUGUGAAUAUAUUUCAUUAUUGUACAAUGUGUUCAUCUUGAACCUGCUUCUAGAUGUGCGGAUAAUAAUUGAAUCCGUUUAGAGCUUA